CCGGACCUGACUGCUAUCGGAUUGAUACUAAGCCAUGCGAGUCAUUGUAGCAAUACAAGGCAGACGGCUCAGUAACGCGUAGUCAACCUACCCUAUGGACGGGGAUAACCUCGGGAAACUGAGAAUAAUACCCGAUAGAACAUUAUACCUGGAAUGGUUUAUGUUUCAAAUAAUUUAUUGCCGUAGGAUGGGACUGCGGCCUAUCAGUUUGUUGGUGAGGUAAUGGCCCACCAAGACUAUUACAGGUACGGGCUCUGAGAGGAGUAGCCCGGAGAUGGGUACUGAGACACGGACCCAGGCCCUAUGGGGCGCAGCAGGCGAGAAAACUUUGCAAUGUGCGAAAGCACGACAAGGUUAAUCCGAGUGGUUUCUGCUAAAGGAACCUUUUGUCAGUCCUAGAAACACUGAUGAAUAAGGGGUGGGCAAGUUCUGGUGUCACCCGCCGCGGUAAAACCAGCACCUCAAGUGGUCAGGAUGAUUAUUGGGCCUAAAGCAUCCGUAGCCUGCUUUGUCAGUUUUCGGUUAAAUCCAUACGCUCAACGUAUGGGCUGCCGGGAAUACUACAAAGCUAGGGAGUGGGAGAGGUAGACGGUACUCGGUAGGAAGGGGUAAAAUCCUUUGAUCUAUUGAUGACCACCUGUGGCGAAGGCGGUCUACCAGAACACGUUCGACGGUGAGGGAUGAAAGCUGGGGGAGCAAACCGGAUUAAAUACCCGGGUAGUCCCAGCUGUAAACGAUGCAGACUCGGUGAUGCGCUGGCUUGUGGCCAGUGCAGUGCCGCAGGGAAGCCGUUAAGUUUGCCGCCUGGGAAGUACGUACGCAAGUAUGAAACUUAAAGGAAUUGGCGGGGGAGCACCACAAGGGGUGAAGCCUGCGGUUC
rnacentral:rRNA from 1 species